AAAGUCGUAACAAGGUUUCCGUAGGUGAACCUGCGGAAGGAUCAUUACCAAAUCCAAAUACCCAAACCCCAUGUGAACUAUUGUAUAGUCUGUCUUUGGGAGAAAGAGAAGGAGAAAUCUGGAUUUUUCUCCCAAUAGAGUCCGGCAUAACUUUUAGUUGUGUCCAGAUUCGAAAACCCUUUAAACCACUUGAUUUUUCUGUUGGAAUUACUUUUAUUAAUUUUAAAUAAAAGACAACUUUUAACGGUGGAUCUCUUGGCUCGU
rnacentral:misc_RNA from 1 species